AUGACAAAUCAGUUCUGGCUUAUGUUCCUUAUGAAUGUGACUUCAAGGCUGCAUUGGAGGAUUUAGAUAUUGCUUUCUUUGAGUAAGAUACAGCCGUAUCAGUUUGAACCACAAAAGGUUACAGCUCCCUCCAGGACCCAGUUAGACUCUUGGCGAGCAUUAGAGGGAUGCGAGGAUGACAGAUGGCUAAAAGAUGCCAAUUAAUUAAUUGCCAGCGAACUGAGGAACCUGUUAGUCACCCAGCUCCACUCUGGAUGUUCAUAGAAGGGACCUUUAGAGCACUUGGUGAGGGGAAAGACGGGUCGCGCCACGUCCCUGGAAGAAAAGGAACGUGCCGGAGGACAACAGUUCAGAAAAUCUCUCUGAGCGUCGGGUCUCUUAAUUUGAAACAGGUUGAGAAGCGAGUUCCCCGAGGCGGCUACACUGUAUUUAAGAGGAGGGAAGAAUUUAAAAUGUAGGGCUAGAAUGUGAGAGCCAAGGUGGGUGAGGUGAUAUCUUGUAUUGGACCAACUUCUGUUGGUGAGAGGGACAAGCUUUCAAGCCACAUAGAGCUCUUCUGCGGGUCGUAUCCUGGGUCAUUUAACUACAGCCCUGUAUGGGGCACAGUGCAGAAUGGCA